CGCAGUUCAAUUGGUGCUAAUUAGCUCACGUGAGGCGCAUGCGGUGACAUCAUCGCUGAGAGAGGGACAGGAGGGAAACUAGAGGUAACGCAGGUGUGCUGUCCAGUGGAUUUUACAAAAUUGCGCACGGAAGUUGUGUAUUAACUUGUUUCUUUGGAUUACCAGCAAAAUACUCUACUGAAGGACGUGUUUUGGAACUUUUACACGAAGUUUUGAGCCCUGUCGCCUCUGAGUUGUGGACGGACUGUGAGCUGCUGCUAGCUUAACCAGCUGGACCCAGUUGUUUGUUUGGACUUCUUUCAACCUGGGAACAAGAAACUUCAAAGGAUAUAGCGCUCUAAGCUGGAUGCUUAGAGUUCAUCAAAGAAUGUGUGAUGACCACUUGACUUGAUGACUGCUUGCAAGCUGCCAUGUUGCUCAUUGAAGAGGCCUACAGGUUACCUUCACCUGUGAAUGGACCACACAUCUCACCCUUCAUCCUCUGAGACAUGAAAAAGGGAAAUGGAAUCCGCACUCGUUUUGAUGAAGAACUGCAGCCGUUUCUUUGUUUGGGCUGCAGAUGGAGAGAGGCUGAUGCUGGGUGGUAUGAAUGUGGUUGAGCCCUGAACUCUGGAGUAAAUGGGACUGGAUAAUGGUCACUUUUCCCAAGCUCUAAACCCUUCUUUUAUCUCGCUCCGCCACUAAACCUAAAUAAAGAGCAACAAUUUACCCUGGAGUGAGAAACUUGACCCAAACUUGAUGCUUAUGGCUGAAGGGCUGAUCUAAACCCCCUCAGCCCGUCAUGGUGGGAGGAUUUAGGGAAGAAAUUCUCAGUCCAUCUUUUACCUGUUGCUCUGGUCUCUAUGUUAUCACGUGUGCAAGUAAAUAAAAAAUACGUACGAUGA